rfam:Serratia sp. ATCC 39006 ctg5, whole genome shotgun sequence.
AGUGUGAGUAGAAGCGGUCAGCACAGAUAUCGGUGCGGGACAUUGCUCAGCAA